rnacentral:tRNA from 1 species
CAGAGCGUAGCUAAAUAGCACAGCAUCUCCCUUACGCCGAGAAGACACCCGUGCAAACCGGGUCGCACUG